GGGGAAUCUUGCGCAAUGCGCGAAAGCGUGACGCAGCAACGCCGCGUGGGGGAAGAAGGCCUUCGGGUUGUAAACCCCUUUCAGUUGGGACGAAGCUUCCGCGGUGAAUAGCCGCGUGGAGUGACGGUACGUUCACAAGAAGCCCCGGCUAACUACGUGCCAGCAGCCGCGGUAAUACGUAGGGAGCGAGCGUUGUCCGGAUUUAUUGGGCGUAAAGAGCGCGUAGGCGGCUCAGUAAGCCGGGUGUGAAACCUCCAAGCUCAACUUGGAGCGGCCAUUCGGAACUGCUGUGGCUAGAGUCUGGUAGGGGAACACGGAAUACCUGGUGUAGCGGUGAAAUGCUUAGAUAUCAGGUGGAACACCAGUGGCGAAGGCGGUGUUCUGGGCCAGUACUGACGCUGAGGCGCGAAAGCGUGGGGAGCGAA
rnacentral:rRNA from 1 species